CGGCGGACGGGUGAGUAACACGUGGAUAACCUACCUAUAAGACUGGGAUAACUUCGGGAAACCGGAGCUAAUACCGGAUAAUAUUUUGAACCGCAUGGUUCAAAAGUAAAAGACGGUCUUGCUGUCACUUAUAGAUGGAUCCGCGCUGCAUUAGCUAGUUGGUAAGGUAACGGCUUACCAAGGCAACGAUGCAUAGCCGACCUGAGAGGGUGAUCGGCCACACUGGAACUGAGACACGGUCCAA
rnacentral:rRNA from 1 species